AUAACAUGCAGCAGCACAUUUGAGACAAAUGAAGCGUUACAAAUCCCCAAGAGUAAUUAAACAUAUAUUAAAUAAUCAAGUCAAAUUGAAUCUCCUAGGCAAGGAGAUACAGAAAUAGAUAUAACUAACAAACACGCAUUCAUAAUUGAAUCCCAGCAAUGAAAUAUAAGAUAAUCAAACGCAUACGAUGGAGGACAACAGUAUAUAGUAGGGAAGAAAUAUGACUAAUACUCUAGUUAAAUACCAUGUUUUCCUGUGAAUUUCUAUAUCUAUAGGCCUAAAUAAGAAGCAAGCAGUAGCAAUUUGAAUAAGAAAGGAUCGAAAACAAUAUAUAUAUAACAUAAUUAGAUAACAAAAAUAAAUCUCAAUCUCAACCACAGAUAAACAAACAGAAAUAAAUACACAAAAUUGAGUGAUAAUGGAUCUCAAGAACACAUAUUGGCACAAACACAUAAAUAGUUGAAUAAUAUGCAUAUGUAAAAUCAAGAAUUAGAGUACCCAGUAGGCAAAUUAUCGACAUAG
rnacentral:misc_RNA from 1 species